UACGGAGGGUGCAAGCGUUAAUCGGAAUUACUGGGCGUAAAGCGCGCGUAGGUGGCUUGAUAAGCCGGUUGUGAAAGCCCCGGGCUCAACCUGGGAACGGCAUCCGGAACUGUCAAGCUAGAGUCUUGUAGAGGGGGGUAGAAUUCCAGGUGUAGCGGUGAAAUGCGUAGAGAUCUGGAGGAAUACCAGUGGCGAAGGCGGCCUUCUGGACUGACACUGACACUGAGGUGCGAAAGCGUGGGUAGCAAACAGG
rnacentral:misc_RNA from 1 species